rfam:Anas platyrhynchos breed Pekin duck contig38164, whole genome shotgun sequence.
GCCCUCUGCUGUGGUCUAUGGCUUUUUAUUCCUAUGUGAUUGCUUUUCCUAACUCAUGUAGGGCGAAAAGCCAUGGGCUACGCAGGGGAGG